GACGAACGCUGGCGGCGUGCUUAUCACAUGCAAGUCGAACGGUAAGGCCCUUCGGGGUACACGAGUGGCGAACGGGUGAGUAACACGUGGGUGAUCUGCCCUGCACUUCGGGAUAAGCCUGGGAAACUGGGACUAAUACCGGAUAGGACCACUGCCUGCAUGGGUGGUGGUGGAAAGCUUUUGCGGAGUGGGAUGGGCCCGCGGCCUAUCAGCUUGUUGGUGGGGUGAUGGCCUACCAAGGCGACGACGGGUAGCCGGCCUGAGAGGGUGACCGGCCACACUGGGACUGAGGUACGGCCCAGACUCCUACGGGAGGCAGCAGUGGGGAAGAUUGCACAAUGGGCGCAAGCCUGAUGCAGCGACGCCGCGUGAGGGAUGACGGCCUUUGGGUUGUAAACCUCUUUCAGCACCGACGAAGCGCAAGUGACGGUAGGUGCAGAAGAAGGACCGGCCAACUACGUGCCAGCCGCCGCAGUAA
rnacentral:rRNA from 1 species